GGACUACUCGGGUUUCUAAUCCCGUUCGCUCCCCUGGCUUUCGCGCCUCAGCGUCAGUAGAGAUCCAGCAGCCCGCUUUCGCCACCGGCGUUCCUUCCGAUAUCAACGCAUUUCACCGCUCCACCGGAAGUUCCGGCUGCCCCUACCUCCCUCGAGACCGCCCGUUUCCAAGGCACUUUUCCGGUUAAGCCGAAAGCUUUCACCCCGGACAAGGCGGUCCGCCUACGCGCCCUUUAAGCCCAGUGAUUCCGAACAACGUUUGCACGGUUCGUCUUACCGCGGCUGCUGGCAC
rnacentral:rRNA from 1 species